UACGUAGGGAGCAAGCGUUGUCCGGAAUCAUUGGGCGUAAAGCGCGUGUAGGCGGUUUUUUAAGUCUGAUGUGAAAGCCCCGGGCUCAACCUGGGAAGUGCAUUGGAUACUGGGAGACUUGAAUACGGGAGAGGGUAGUGGAAUUCCUAGUGUAGGAGUGAAAUCCGUAGAUAUUAGGAGGAACACCGGUGGCGAAGGCGGCUACCUGGACCGAUAUUGACGCUGAGACGCGAAAGCGUGGGGAGCAAACAGG
rnacentral:rRNA from 1 species